rnacentral:lncRNA from 1 species
CUACCAAAAAUUAGAAUUUUAUUCGUACGUUUAGUACCUCAAAAACACGUACAAACAUCUAUUGGGCGAGAAAGGGGCGUGGCCAGCCGCUACGUCAUAGCACCACAGGUCGGCUGGCGACCGCGCUCGAUACAAGGCACAGGUCUGCUUUGCCCGAUUACAGAAAGUGUGUUUUAAAUUUAUAGUAUAACGUAGUGUAGUACUAAAGUCUUUUUUUUUAUUCAAUAUUAGUGUAAAAAAGACAAGGAAACGUUGUGUAGUGCCAGAAUGCACAAAUACGAAUAAAAAGUCCCCAGAAAAACUAUUUAUUUCUUUACCGUCCGACAUAAAGUUAAGACGAGCAUGGCAGCAUGCAAUGUGAAGACAUGAUUUUGUCCCUGACAGAGGCACCAGAUUUUGUUGUGAAGAUCACUUUAAUGUUGAAGAAGACAGAAAAUUACAUAUAUGUACUUAAAAACUAUGAAAUCGGGAAGAAUAAAAUUAAAAUCAGGUGUUAUUCCUUACAUUUUUGAGUGCCAAAAAAACGAUCUUCUGCUUCAAAUAC